UACGGGGGGGGCUAGCGUUAUUCGGAAUCAUUGGGCGUAAAGGGCGCGUAGGCGGCGCGGUAAGUCAAAGGUGAAAUCCCUCGGCUCAACUGAGGAACUGCCUUUGAAACUGCCGUGCUUGAGUCCGGGAGGGGGUAGCGGAAUUCCCAGUGUAGCGGUGAAAUGCGUAGAUAUUGGGAGGAACACCAGUGGCGAAGGCGGCUCUCUGGACAGGUACUGACGCUGAGACGCGAAAGCGUGGGUAGCAAACAGG
rnacentral:rRNA from 1 species